CUCUGUCACACCUGUUGCAUUUUUCGGCCACACGGGGCGCUGUCGACUGCGUGAAAACUUGUGCAGGGAAAUUUGUGACAGGACUGGAGACCACAGCAGCGAUUCUGCUCUUGCCCAACCUCUUCAAAGAGGAGCCAAGUGGCCUUUAUGUCCGUGACAAGAUUUCACCGCUCUUCACUCCUUUACUGCACAUCGGCGGAAAUCCAUUUCACCAUGAGAGUGAAAUCCCACUGGCCUUUGAUGGGGAGAACAUCCACACCCUCGAGGACGUCCCCAUGGGACUUGGGGCUCUGCUAGGGCUGUAUUUUUUUAUUUUCCCUUAAAUUUCCAAAAAUGUCAGAAAAACACUUAUGUUGUUAAGUUACUGUGUUCUGGGGAAAAGAGAAGUUGGGUGAAGUUACCAGGGCAGGUCAUAAAGAUGGCAAACUUCCUAACACAACUAAGUGGAUACGAUAUACACACUAAAGCUGAAAAAUCUUUAUUUAGCAUCAAGUCUACAAUGUUGUUAGUUUACCUAUGAUUAAUUUUUAAUAUAUGUUGUUUUUAUUGUACAUCAUUAUUAUUAUUUUAAAUGUCAUGAAAUGCACUUUACAAAGUAAUUUUAUUAUUUAAUAUGGUCUGACAUGUCUGCAG
ensembl:lncRNA